AAGUUUGGGGCUCCAAAAUAAAUAGGUCACUGGUGAAAUUCACUGGCUCGGCAGGUGACUCAUAGGUCUCCAAGGAAACCGUCAUCUUUAAAUCAGUUUUUUUUAACCGCACACUUUAACAAUUCAAAGCGUAUGUGUCUGUUUAAGUGAAAGCAAGAAUUUUAAUCCUUUCAAUGAAUUGGCGGGCUUGAACAGAGCAGAUAUGUCCGGAUCUGUAAAUGAACGCAAGAAUGUUAACCAGUGAAAUGAAUUGCCGGGAUGGAAAAACCCUCUUCACUCUGAGACUAUUGAUGUGGCAUUUCUGUAUAUGGAAGGGACUGAUUUAUAUGUGUGGGAAACAUGGAUUCUAAGAACAGAUAAACAACAGAAAAAGUGAUCAGUGAUGCAAAUAUGUCCUUUCAAAACUCUACAAUUAGAACUUGAAGACUCUUAUAUCAAAGUGAUAUUUAGUAGUGGACAUAGUGAUGUGGAGUGUACUUGAGAAACAUUGAACUUUCUACCUCUUCCUUCUUUUAGUUACAUUCCAUGGAAUACUUUAAUGAAAGUGAAAGUGGCAAAGAAUAUAUUGUGAUACAUUUUAGGAGGAAAAAAGUAUUUGACCAAACAUGGUGAAAUUAAUUGUGUCGUAUAAUCUGGGAAAUAAAAAUGACAGAAUUUAAUUAAUUUUGUAAGACAUUUGUAUUGAGGAAUAAUUGUGUCAUUGAUAUUUCAAGAAUCAGCUUUGUAUCAACGUUGAACCAACGAAAUAACUAUAUUUUGAACUGAGGUCCAAUGUAGGGCCAACGUUACAAAAUAUUUGGUUAGCAUCGGUACGUUGGAAUAGCGUUGUACCAACGUUGGCAUUUCAACAAAAGCGUUGUACCAACGUCGGACCAACGUCAUGAUUAUAUUUUGAACUGAGGUCCAACGUUGGGCCAACGUUAAAAAAAUAUUGCGUUGGCGUUGGUAUGUUGGAAUAACGUUGUACCAACGUUGACAAAUGAACAAA